rnacentral:ncRNA from 1 species
UAAAAAAUCUUGAUGAACAGAGUAACUAAAAAUACUUUUUUCAGAGAAUUGCUGGUUGGUGUGAAGCAAGAAAAAGCUUUUAGUGAAAAUGGGUUCAAAAUGAUUGUACUGGUGAUAUUUAGCCAAUAACGGGGUUGCGCUCGUUAACAACGCAAACUAUUGUUAGAUAGUUCAAAGGUUAUUUGCGUGAGCAGAUAAUGAAUAAAGGUGGUAACACGAAGCACUCGUCCUUUUU